rnacentral:sRNA from 1 species
UCACCUGGUCAGGCCCUCCGACAUUGGGAAA